rnacentral:rRNA from 1 species
AAGAUGGACUCGCGUCCGAUUAGAUAGUUGGCGGGGUAACGGCCCACCAAGUCGACGAUCGGUAGCCGGACUGAGAGGUUGAUCGGCCACAUUGGGACUGAGACACGGCCCAGACUCCUACGGGAGGCAGCAGUGGGGAAUAUUGGGCAAUGGGGGAAACCCUGACCCAGCAACGCCGCGUGAGGGAUGACGGUUUUCGGAUUGUAAACCUCUGUCCUCUGUGAAGAUAGUGACGGUAGCAGAGGAGGAAGCUCCGGCUAACUACGUGCCAGCAGCCGCGGUAAUACGUAGGGAGCAAGCGUUGUCCGGAUUUACUGGGUGUAAAGGGUGCGUAGGCGGAUUGGCAAGUCAGAAGUGAAAUCCAUGGGCUUAACCCAUGAACUGCUUUUGAAACUGUUAGUCUUGAGUGAAGUAGAGGUAGGCGGAAUUCCCGGUGUAGCGGUGAAAUGCGUAGAGAUCGGGAGGAACACCAGUGGCGAAGGCGGCCUACUGGGCUUUAACUGACGCUGAGGCACGAAAGUGUGGGUAGCAAACAGGAUUAGAUACCCUGGUAGUCCACACUGUAAACGAUGAUUACUAGGUGUGGGG